GAUGAACGCUAGCGGCAGGCUUAAUACAUGCAAGUCGAGGGGCAACAGGGGUAGCAAUACCUGCUGGCGACCGGCAAACGGGUGCGCAACACGUACAGAACCUUCCUUUAAGCGGGGGAUAGCCCAUAGAAAUGUGGAUUAAUACCCCAUGGUAAUGUUUAAUGGCAUCAUUAGAUAUUUAAAGAUUUAUCACUUAAAGAUGGCUGUGCGUCUGAUUAGGUAGNGGUGCAGGUAACGGCUCACCAAGCCAACGAUCAGUAACUGGUGUGAGAGCACGACCAGUCACACGGGCACUGAGACACGGGCCCGACUCCUACGGGAGGCAGCAGUAAGGAAUAUUGGGCAAUGGACGCAAGUCUGACCCAGCCAUGCCGCGUGAAGGAUGAAGGCCCUCUGGGUUGUAAACUUCUUUUAUCCGGGACGAAACCACCUUUUUCCAAGGUGUUGACGGUACCGGAGGAAUAAGCACCGGCUAACUCCGUGCCAGCAGCCG
rnacentral:rRNA from 1 species